rnacentral:rRNA from 1 species
AGUGAACGCUGGCGGUAGGCCUAACACAUGCAAGUCGAACGGCAGCACAGUAAGAGCUUGCUCUUACGGGUGGCGAGUGGCGGACGGGUGAGGAAUACAUCGGAAUCUACUUUUUCGUGGGGGAUAACGUAGGGAAACUUACGCUAAUACCGCAUACGACCUACGGGUGAAAGCAGGGGAUCUUCGGACCUUGCGCGAUUGAAUGAGCCGAUGUCGGAUUAGCUAGUUGGCGGGGUAAAGGCCCACCAAGGCGACGAUCCGUAGCUGGUCUGAGAGGAUGAUCAGCCACGCUGGAACUGAGACACGGUCCAGACUCCUACGGGAGGCAGCAGUGGGGAAUAUUGGACAAUUGGCGCAAGCCUGAUCCAGCCAUACCGCGUGGGUGAAGAAGGCCUUCGGGUUGUAAAGCCCUUUUGUUGGGAAAGAAAAGCAGCAGGUUAAUACCCCGCUGUUCUGACGGUACCCAAAGAAUAAGCACCGGCUAACUUCGUG